CAGCCGCCGCGGUAAUACGUAGGGCGCAAGCGUUGUCCGGAAUUAUUGGGCGUAAAGAGCUCGUAGGCGGUCUGUCGCGUCUGGUGUGAAAUCCCGAGGCUCAACCUCGGGCUUGCAUCGGGUACGGGCAGACUAGAGUGCGGUAGGGGAGACUGGAAUUCCUGGUGUAGCGGUGGAAUGCGCAGAUAUCAGGAGGAACACCGAUGGCGAAGGCAGGUCUCUGGGCCGCAACUGACGCUGAGGUACGAAAGCAUGGGGAGCAAACAGGAUUAGAUACCCCUGUAGUCCCUGUCUCUUAUAC
rnacentral:rRNA from 1 species